AUGGGCUUCUUGCCGAUGAUGUACGCAUCACUCUCUCUGCUGCUACUAGGAUCACUAGGAAAGCUAAUGGUGCUAGCAUCUGGAGUUGUAACAAGCCACAGCCCUGAAGGGAAUUGGGCACAUCCAUCACUUGCCACACUUGAUGGUUGCCCCAAGAGCUGUGGCAAUCUGAGCUUCGACUACCCCUUUGGCAUCGGUUCAAGGUGCUCUCGGGAUCCUGACUUCAACCUCAUUUGCAACGACACAGCUAAGCCCCCCAGGCUGUUCUUGUGCGACAGCAUCACCGAGGUGAUCGACAACAUCGACGUUGGUAGCGGUGGGGAUUCCUACCACACUCACAAAAGCAUCAGUACCUCCUUCUGGCGUACCAUCCCCAUGAAAUCUGGUGUCCAUGUCUACUACUUGUCUUUCCAACCUCCUGGUAGAUCCUUCAGCCGUGGGGAAACCAUUCUGAACAUCACUGGUUGCGACCUGGAUGUGUAUUGGGUCAACAGCAACACACACAGAACAACAUGGAUCUGUACGACUGUGUGCCCGGACCAAGUUAUCACAGAGACCAUGGCUAGGCUCAACUGCAGUGGCAUCGGAUGUUGCAGUUUUCCUAUGACAGGCCUGCUUCCUGUUGCUUUUCAGCUCAAAUUUGUCCACCACCACGGCAAAACUAGCACCAGAACACGCUCAAACCAGACCUCUAUGCUGUGGGAUAGAAUCAGCAUAAGUGACGGUGGCGGCGGCACAGUUUUGUGGAAUAUAGUGGAUCAACAAAAUUGUGCUAGCGCCGUGCGAAACAGGACAGCGUAUGCUUGUAUCGGCAAGCAUUCCUUGUGCGGCGACUAUAGCGUGACAUCAACCGACGGCUACAACUGCAUCUGCAGUGCCGGCUAUGCAGGCAACCCCUUCAUUCAAGAUGGCUGUUCCAGAGACAAAGGGUAUAAUCCAAUUCCGAGCAGAGCUAAUUGUACCCGUUGGUGUGGUAACAUUAGGGUGCCAUACCCAUUCGGCUUAGAAGAGGGUUGCUUUGCCAGGGAACAAUUCCAACUCAACUGUUUUUGGUCAAAUUUGACAUCAUCAGCUGUCCUCAUGUUUGAGUUUCAAGAGGUAAUGAACCUGAAUGUUAACGAAGGGACCAUUAAGAUGGCUUCCAAGGAAAUCCAUAUGCCAAAAAUGGCUGUCAAGGUACAUCUGUUGUGCUGUAUCUGUCCAUGUUUAUUGGUGAAAUCAGGAGUAUAG
rnacentral:rRNA from 1 species